rnacentral:lncRNA from 1 species
AGUCCUACAAGGUGGAUGCAGUAUGUUAUGACGGAUGAUACAGUUCUCAUGAAUGUGGAUUCAGUGUCCCUGCCGUGCUUGCAGUGCCCCCCACAUUGUCCAGGAAUGUGGAUGCAGUAGUCAUGCAGUGGAUGCAGUUUCCCACAAGGUGGAUGCAGUAUGUUAUGACGGAUGAUGCAGUUCUCAUGAAGGUGGAUGCAGUGUCCCUGCAGUGCUUGCAGUGCCCCCCGCAUUGUCCGGGAAUGUGGAUGCAGUAGUCAUGCAGUGGAUGCAGUGUCCCACAAGGUGGAUGCAGUAUGUUGUGACGGAGGAUGCAGUGCCCAUGAAGGUGGAUGCAGUGAUCCUGCAGUGGUUGCACUGCCUCUACAGUUUACCUGAAAGUGGAUACAGUGGUCAUGCACUGGACUCUGUUUCCCUCAAGGUCGAUGCCCUAUGUUGUGUUGGAGGAUUCAGUGAUCAUGAAGAAGGAUGCAGUGAUCCUGCAGUCAUUGCAGUGCACCUGCAGUGCCUCUUCAGCUGGCUGCAGUGUCCCUGCAGUGGUUGCACGCCCCCUUCUGUGUCCCUGAAUGUGGAUGCAUUGCCAAUGCAGAAGAUGCAGAGUACCAAAAGUUGGUUUCCGUUCCAUAUGUUGUCACAGAGGAUGCAGUGCCCACGAGUUGGAUGCAGUGAGCCGGCAGUGACUGCAGUACACCUGCAGUGCCACUUCAGCUGGAUGCAGUGUCCCUGCAGUGGUUGCAAUGCCCACUGCAUUUACCUGGAAUGUGGAUGCAGUGCUCAUGCAGUGGAUGUAGUGUCCCACAUGGUGGAGGCAUUGUGGUGUGUUGUAGUAUGCAGUGCUGAGGAAGGUGGAUGCAAUGAUCCAGCAGUGAUGGCAGUGUGCCUGCAGUGCCACUUUAGCUGGAAGCAGUG